ACAAAGCAAUUCCUCGUUUCCUUAAUAUUAACUAGACAUGAAAGAGGGAGAGAAGAAAGAAGAGGAAGAAGAAGAGGAGGAGGAAGAGGAGGAAGAUGAAGAGAAAUAUGAAUGAGAAAGGAAAAGAAAAACACACAAAGCAAUUCCUCGUUUCCUUAAUAUUAACUAGACAUGAAAGAGAAGAGGGAGAGAAGAAAGAGGAGGAAGAGGAAGAAGAAGAGGAAGAAGAGGAGGAAGAUGAAGAGAAAGAUGAAUGAGAAAAAGGAAAAGAAAAACACACAAAACAAUUCCUCGUUUCCUUAAUAUUAACUAGACAUGAAAGAGGGAGAGAAGAAAGAAGAGGAAGAAGAAGAGGAGGAGGAAGAGGAGGAAGAUGAAGAGAAAGAUGAAUGAGAAAAAGGAAAAGAAAAACACACAAAGCAAUUCCUCGUUUCCUUAAUAUUAACUAGACAUGAAAGAGAAGAGGAAGAGAAGAAGAGGAGGAAGAGGAAGAAGAAGAGGAAGAAGAGGAGGAAGAUGAAGAGAAAGAUGAAUGAGAAAAAAAAAGAAAAACACACAAAACAAUUCCUCGUUUCCUUAAUAUUAACUAGACAUGAAAGAGAA